UCCAGGGUAGCCGAGUGGACGAGGCACCUGCCCGGUAAGCAGAAGGGUGUGGGUUCGAUUCCCGCCCCUAGAC
rnacentral:tRNA from 1 species